rnacentral:rRNA from 1 species
AGAGUUUGAUCAUGGCUCAGGACGAACGCUGGCGGCGCGCCUAACACAUGCAAGUCGAACGAGCGAGAGGAGGUUUACUUUCUCAAGCGAGUGGCGAACGGGUGAGUAACGCGUGAGGAACCUGCCUCAAAGAGGGGGACAACAGUUGGAAACGACUGCUAAUACCGCAUAAGCCCACGACCCGGCAUCGGGUAGAGGGAAAAGGAGCAAUCCGCUUUGAGAUGGCCUCGCGUCCGAUUAGCUGGUUGGUGAGGUAACGGCCACCAAGGCGACGAUCGGUAGCCGGACUGAGAGGUUGAACGGCCGACAUUGGGGACUGAGACACGGCCCAGACUCCUACGGGAGGCA